AAGGUUGACCUCGGAUCAGGUAGGACUACCCGCUGAACUUAAGCAU
rnacentral:rRNA from 1 species